GGGAGCCCAGGGUGGUUCCUGCCCUGCCCGGCCCCGCUGGAGAACCCCGUGGGGAUUUCUGGCUCACCCCCAAGGGCUUUGAGACCCUCGGCGCUUCUUCCCUCCUCUCUGCAGCCCUGGACCCCGGCGCUUUCAGGAUCCUGGGUCUGGACCCUGCUGGUGCCCGGCAGACCCAGCACCCAGCUGUGGCUGCGUGAGCGCUGGUGGCGGUGGGGACAGUGACGGUGACAUCCCUCCCAGCAGUGUCCCGGGAUGGCCGAGCUGUCAGGACGUGCUGCUGGGUGUGCCCGGGGUGACAGCCCUGCUCCAGGGGAAGAGCAGCACUCCUGGGCUCAGCUCCUGCCCUCCCAGCCUAGCCCCGGGCACUGGAGCAGCUCCAGCUCCAUCUGCACCGAGGACUUUGCUGCCAGGUUCUGGGAGGGAAUGGUGGAGCCGCUGCUGUGCCAGCAGGAGCCUGCUGGGCAUGUCCCCACGGAAGGAGCUCAUCCUGGGCAGGAUGAGUCCCUGUUCCCCACAGGGAGAAGCCCGGACAGACGGCCCUGGCAGGACAGAUCUCCAUCCUGGAGCAGGAGGGAGAGCCUGGAGUCCCUGGGAGCGAGGAUCUCCCGCCGGAGCCAGAGCCAUGAGGGGGUGGCCUGGGGGGUCCCCUGGGCAGCCCCCUCUGCCCAGCCAGCCCUGGGCUGCAGGGACCCUCCCCGUGGGCACCUGGUGGCCACGGCCUUGCCUGGGCAUUCCUGGAGAGCUGCAGGGGUCUCUGCUGGCAGGAGCAGGGCUGGGACAAGGACAGGCAGCAGUUUGCCCAGGACCAGCAGUGCCAGAACCGGGGGCCAUCCCACCCUGGGCGUGAGGCGACAGGAGCCACCAGCUCCCUGGGGACGUGGAGGGAGUGUCACCUUGGCUAUGGAUGGCACGGACAGGGAAGGAGCAGACAGCAGGAGUGAGUCUGACUGGCCCUGGGGCACUGGGAGGGGCUGGAGGAGGGUGCAGGGCUGGGACAAGCAGGGGAA